rnacentral:ribozyme from 11 species
AAAAAGAAGAAAACAAAUAAAAAGAAGAAAAUGUAAAAUGAAAAAUGACAAAUUAAAAUUUGUGAUAAUCAUUUUUCAUCAUUUUCUUCUUUUUGUUUUCUCUUUUUAAAAAGGAAAGGAAUGAUGACAUCAUAUUAUUUUCUUUUUUCUUUUGAUGUGCUCCUAAGAGCCAGCUGAUGCUGACAUCAAAAGAAAGGAAAAUAAUGUCAUCAUUCGUUGA